rnacentral:rRNA from 1 species
AUUGAACGCUGGCGGAAUGCUUUACACAUGCAAGUCGAACGGCAGCACGGGGCAACCUGGUGGCGAGUGGCGAACGGGUGAGUAAUACAUCGGAACGUGCCCAAUCGUGGGGGAUAACGUAGCGAAAGUUACGCUAAUACCGCAUACGAUCUACGGAUGAAAGCGGGGGAUCGCAAGACCUCGCGCGAAUGGAGCGGCCGAUGUCAGAUUAGGUAGUUGGUGGGGUAAAGGCCCACCAAGCCAACGAUCUGGAGCUGGUCUGAGAGGACGACCAGCCACACUGGGACUGAGACACGGCCCAGACUCCUACGAGAGGCAGCAGUGGGGAAUUUUGGACAAUGGGCGCAAGCCUGAUCCAGCCAUUCCGCGUGCAGGAUGAAGGCCUUCGGGUUGUAAACUGCUUUUGUACGGAACGAAACGGUUCUCUCUAAUACAGGGGGCUAAUGACGGUACCGUAAGAAUAAGCACCGGCUAACUACGUGCCAGCCGCCGCCGUAACAC